rnacentral:rRNA from 1 species
AUUGAACGCUGGCGGCAGGCUUAACACAUGCAAGUCGAGCGGUAACAGGCCUUCGGGUGCUGACGAGCGGCGGACGGGUGAGGAAUGCAUAGGAAUCUGCCUAUUAGUGGGGGAUAACACGGGGAAACUCGUGCUAAUACCGCAUACGUCCUACGGGAGAAAGCGGGGGAUCGUAAGACCUCGCGCUAAUAGAUGAGCCUAUGCCGGAUUAGCUAGUUGGUAGGGUAAAGGCCUACCAAGGCGACGAUCCGUAGCUGGUCUGAGAGGAUGAUCAGCCACAAUGGGACUGAGACACGGCCCAGACUCCUACGGGAGGCAGCAGUGGGGAAUAUUGGACAAUGGGCGCAAGCCUGAUCCAGCCAUGCCGCGUGUGUGAAGAAGGCCUUCGGGUUGUAAAGCACUUUAAGUGGGGAGGAAGGUCAGUAAGUUAAUACCUUAUUGAAUUGACGCUACCCACAGAAUAAGCACCGGCUAACUCUGUGCCAGCCGCCGCCGUAA